AGAUUUGCAUAUUUUGGCAUCCAGUGGAAAAGGAAAGAAGAACGGAACCCGCAGCCUUUAAAGGAACCGCACAGGCUGUAGCGUCACCCAGGGAGGCGGUGGGGGUGGGGGUGGGGGCCUGAAAAAUUAGCCAGCGGCUCUGGCCUCUGGCCGUAGAGCCCGGCAGCAGGGAGGGCCAGGGAGGGGCGGCAACCAGCGAGCUUCGGGCGCGCCAGUCCCAGACCUGGCCCCUCCAGAGUGCUUCCUGCUGCGCGUGCACCCGGAGGCUGCGGAGGGUCUCCACGGGUUCCUGCCUGGGGCCGGGAGACGCUGUGGGGUCCGCGGUCCUGGGCGAGCUGCAGGCCCGAAGGCUGCAGUGCCCAUGUCUCCCCGCGCGAGGCAGAGCUCAGCCUGCGGGGGUGGUGGGAAGGAAGUGAGAGGCCUCCGGGCCGCCCAGCUCAACUCCGGAGGACCCCACCGUGAUGCACCCACUUUCCACCUGUCAGGAUCUCUCCCCAGGAGGGGCUGCAGAGUGAGGAGCUAGAAGCCCUUAUCCUGUUCGACUGGGGCCUGAGUUGGGAAAGGCAGAGGCAGUGGAAGCAUUUGGGAUCCUUAAGCUUCCAGGGCCCCAGAGGCUGUGGAGUGCAGCCACUCCCAACUGGAGGAGACGGCCUCUCUCCCAACACUUUUCGGCACGCUGGACUUGUUGCUUCCAAGUAGAAGAGCAUGGGGCAAGGUUUGCUGACCUGCACCAGGGCUUGCUUACCCGUCAGCAAGAUUGGAUAGGAGUCUGGGGACACGAUUCCUUCCCUCUCCUUUCUACUAGUUCUUUGCAUAAAACGGGAGCCUUCAAUUCAAUUAAAGUCUUCAUUAAAGCUUCACUGUGACCUUGGGCAAA
ensembl:lncRNA novel transcript